AUUGAACGCUGGCGGCAGGCCUAACACAUGCAAGUCGAACGAGUGGCGGACGGGUGAGUAAUGUCUGGGACACUGCCUGAUGGAGGGGGAUAACUACUGGAAACGGUAGCUAAUACCGCAUACCAUCGGAUGUGCCCAGAUGGGAUUAGCUAGUAGGUGGUGUAAAGGCUCACCUAGGCGACGAUCCCUAGCUGGUCUGAGAGGAUGACCAGCCACACGGGAACGGAGACAAGGGCCAGACUCCUAAGGGAGGCAGCAGUGGGGAAUAUUGCACAAUGGGAGCAAGCAUGAUGCAGCCAUGCCGCGUGUAUGAAGAAGGCCUUCGGGUUGUAAAGUACUUUCAGCGGGGAGGCGUUACUCGCAGAAGAAGCACCGGCUAACGCCGUGCCAGCAGCCGCGGUAAUUC
rnacentral:rRNA from 1 species